GUGGGGGUGUCCAGGAUUUUUUGUCCUUCAUGAUAUGAAGAAGAAAAGAUCCCAGAAGCUUUUUGUUAACGUGGGCCAUGCAGACUGAUAUUUACAUGUUGAGAGAUGAAAAUCGAUUAAUUUAAUGAUGUACAAUGUAGUUUUCCCAGCAACUGGACAGGUUAUAAAUCUGUUUCUUUUAGAAAAUAUGGUAUUAGCAGUUCAAAACUAUAGGAUGACUCCCAUGGAAAUGAAUAUUAAAGUAAGUUGUCUUGGCUUGAAGUGUUGAGAACACCCAUCCUCAAGAAUGCAAUUGAGAUGAAAGAAUGACACAAACUGAAUUUCAAGGAUGAGAAGAGACAGUCAAACAGAAGAAGACGACAUCAAAAGUUCUUCUAAAUCAGAGCAAACUACUUAGGCUAACAGAAAGGCCAAGGUAACCUCUACAUUUUUGUAUUAUCCAAUCAAAUAAACAAGAUGGGAUUGAGUAGAAAAAGUCCACAUCAGAGGAGAAGGAAGUGAGCUGAGUCUUAAACAUGUACAAUUUGAAGCAUCAAGAUUUUCAAAUAUCUGAAGCUAUUGGAGAUGAAGGAAAAACAAUGUUUCUGAAGUCAUUGGCAGCGAUAGUUGAAUCCAUUGAGCAGAUGAAAUCUUAAAGUAGAAUACAGAAUGGGAUGAAGGAAACCAAAGACAGAACUUUGCCAUGUGAAAACAGAAGGAAGACAUUCUUAGGAAGGUGUCAAGGAAGGAAAAAUCAGAGACAAGUAAAAUCUGGAUAAUGAAGCAUCUUGGAGUUUCAUGAAGACUUAAUCACUUAUUUUCUUUAUGUGUAAUCUGUGAUUUAUAUAAUAAUAUGAACAGCAGCAAAAUGUGCAGGCAUAACCUUUGGUUAUCUUCUGCAUUGCCCCCUGCCCCAUG